CCCCCUUUCAAGUUCCUCUCCUCUGCUCAAAAAAAAAAAAAAAAAAAAAAGGCGGGGGGGGGGGGGACUACGACUGGGGGCGGGGCGGCCUCGCUCAAGCGCAUUGUUCCCGGGGCCCGCCCUCCACCGAACCCCGCACCCCGCAUUGGCCACACGCACUGCCCAUCACACGCGGUAAACACCCCAGCUCAGUGGCCACCCCAGCCCCGAGCCCGGCGGUCUCCAGGCCCCCCGGCGGUGAGAAUUUCCCGACUGUUUCUUGGUACCCCCCAUUUCCCCCCCCAUGGUCCCUCCCUCGCGCAUCCCGCUCCCCCUCCUCCCUUGCUCCCUGUGCCCCUCCCCCUGCGUCUGGGCCAAGGGAUCAAAAUAGAGGAAGAUGGUUGUCACUGCAGUCCUGGCUCAAUGGGCCGCCUGUCAGCUUCCUGCUCGCGGAAGGAGGUGACAAGCCCGGCCAGCCGGGACUGGGGGGCAUGGAGGGCUCUGGGCAGCGCCCCCACCUCCCCACCUCCCCUGGGGCACGAGCGCACCAAGGAGCCGCCCAGACAGACCCAGGCAGCCUGCCCCCCCCCAAGCACCCCCAAACAAAGCGGCGAUUCACGCCCCACACACACCCGGGCCACCGGGGCUGGGCGGGCGCAGAGCGGUCCCCAGCGGGUCACUGGCGGCGCUGGCCAGGCAGGGUGAGUCCCCGCUUCCCCGGGUUCCCAUGGAGACGCAGCGGGCGCCCCUCCCUGGCUCUCCACCCCCACCCCCAAAAGUCCCCAAGCAGGAAAAGGGGAUUAGCUGGGCCCAGCGCGCAGCGACCUCUCUGGGCGCCGACACCCUAGCAGCUCCCCUCCGCAGCUCCGAACCCCGUUACAGAGGAAUGGAAGAACCUCUGUGCCUGGGCUCCCGGCCAGCAGCGUCCCUCCCGGGAAAGCAAAUGAAAUCUGUUGAGCUCAGAGGAAGCGGCGGCCGAGCCCAAAAAGUACUGGGCUGGCCAUGGGCAGACGGCAGAGGGGCGAGGGGACCCCAUCCCCCAGACUUUGCACUCGGGUUUUUUGCACUUUCAGCAGAUCCUUUCUAGCUGCAGUGACCGAGUUGCAAGUCUCGGCUGCAGGCGCUGGGUGGGGGGCUUGGCCAAAGGGGGGUGCCCUCUUCCCCCCAGCCUGAUUCCAGGCGGCUCCUUUCCCCCCAAAGGCAGCCUGGACAGCCAGUUCCCCAGAGCCAGGCAGGACCCCCGUAGCUGGGGCAGAAAGAUCCCGCACUGCGCCCACUGGCGCUUGGCCUUCCCGCUUCCUCGCUAUUUUUAAAAAUUCCAUUUUUAAGGCAACUUUUUUGGGGGGUGGGUGAGGUGGGGAGAAGAAUGAGCUAGCUGCAUAAGCAUGUAUUCGCUUCCACUUUUAGAAAGAAAAAAAGUGGGGGGAGGAGGUUAGGCUUCCAGAGCGAAGUGGGGGUGCCUAAUUUAAUUCCAGCCUGAAUUGGGGUGGGGGGGUUACUGCAGCCUCCGGAGGGCUGUUUCAAGUUGCCCUUCCCUGGCCUCCUGUGCCGGUUUCCAGGCCGCCCUCUUUUGGAAGCUGGAGUGGCCCAGGGGGAGGAGGGAGAGGCCGAGAAAGGAAUGGAAAUAGCUGGAGCGGAGGGGACCGGCGCAGGUCAGGACGCAGAACCGGAGAGGAGCUGGGGGUUAGAAGAAGGAGGUACCAGGCCCGCUGUGGGGGAGGCACGGGCUGACUACCGGCUGUGGGGCUCCUGGAGGCCUUGAAGGGGGACCGGGUGGUGAGGGGUGCAGCCCGGGUAUGCGCCAUGCGCCCCAGUCUAAUCCUGCGGCCUUUGUGGGUUCCCGGUAAAAAACUCUCCCAGCUCCCCACCCCCGCCCGGGCCCUCCCGCCUGCUGAGCAGCCCACUCCCUGCCGCAUCUGGAAUGCUUUAUUUUAAUACCACUCCAAAAAAAAAAAAAAAGUGUGUGUAGCGGGGGAGCCUCACGGGGUGGAAAAACACAGAAGCCUAUUUUUAUAAAAUGUUGCCUGUUCUCACCCCUGGGUGCUCUGGGUGCCAAGACGGCGCCCCCCCCCCCAUAAAUCAUUUGGUCGCUAAUAAAAAUUCUCUCUGCCAGCGUCUGCCACUGGCCUUUGCAUUUCUCUGAGUGAGCGUCUGCUGGGGCCUAGGGGAGCCUGCCAGCCGGCAUGUCCAGGCUCUGGGUCUCUGAGUGCCCUCCUGGCUCCCAGGUGCACGGACACUGGGGAGUCCCUCGCAGCUAGACUCACGGCGCAGGACAGACCUGUCCUGGCCAGGCCUCCCAAGUUGCCAUGGAAGUGGGCAGCCACCCGCAUCCAGAUGUUUUUGGGGUCCCCGCAGGCAGGGGCCAUCUUGGGGCGGGGACGCUCCCUGAGUUCCUCUGACAGCCCGCCACCCACCAGGCUCCCUGGGACACCUCAUGGGGGCUGUGGGUCCCGCAGCCCUGCGCGCAGGCCCGGGUGACUAAGCUAUAACCAGACAGCGCUCGCCGCCAUCUUCCGUCCCCUCCUCCAGGCUGUCCCCAGAUUGUCCCCGGGGUCUCCAAGUGUGUUGAUGAGUGUGUGCUUAGUCCCACCGGGCGGGCGGGCGGAACAGCCGUGGAAAGACAGACCGACCGGCCGCUACCCAGACCUCGGAGGACGCCUGGCCUUCGCGAUUCACCGCUCAGAAUUCAUCCCCUUUGUUUGCACACCAAAAGCUGAGCCCGCCGAGCCAGCACCCCUUUGUCUGCCCUGAGCCUCCCGGAGCCCUGGCCCGUCUUCCGAGCCCUGGAGACGCCGCCGCCCCAGGGAAGAAGAUCGGCCUGUGCUCCUAGCAGCGAUUGGCUCUGGAGCUUCCAGCAGUGGAACCAAGAGACCGCGCCCGCCUCUCCGCCCGGCGAAGACAGCGAAGACGCGGAGCCGGGAUUCAGCCGGUGCCACCGGCCUGGAGACCCACAGCAAGCCCCCCCCCCAUCCAGGGGCCAGAGCGCACAGAGACCACCGACCGACCCUUCCGCUGCGUCUUGCUGCUCGGCCUGGUGGGUCUCGCCCCUCCUGCUCCCACCCCAGGCUCCGGCCCUGAGCUUCCUGGUCGCCGGAGGAGCCCCAGCGCCCCAGGAUACAGGCCCCCGACCUGCGGAGGGAACUCGGUUCUGGGGACCCCCUCUCCGUGCCGCAGUGCGUGCCUGCCGGGGGUAUCUGGAGGUGGGGGGGGGCAAGGGUCCCCCACCCUAGCCAGAGCUCAGCUGCCCCGCGCUGUGGGGACUCCCGGCUCUCACUAACCCACCACAUCCCAACAAGGUGCUGGCCUGGCUGAGCCCCCGGGGUCGGGGGGCUCCAGGGACAAGCUGAGCUGACACCAAGCCCCAGCCCUGGGACUGACCCGGCCUUGGGCCAGAGCAGCCAGGGCCUUUGCAAUAACAAGGCGGAAUGUUGCCAGCUUUGUCCCUUUGCCAGAAGAGCCGGCACAGCGGCCUUGCACACAUCCCAAAGGGCAGCUAGCUCACCGGCAGAGGUCCUGUCCUGCGGACCACACCGGCCAUCAGGUCCCAGCUGCUUGGGCCCCGGCCUUGACCCCCUUCCCAGCUUCCAUCCUGAACAGCCUUCUGGAACAUUCUACCAGCUGUGGCCACCCUGCCCUGAUCUCCCCUGAACAGCGCCUCUCCCUGCCAGACUCCCCAGAUGCUGUCAUGAUUGUGGGUCCCCAGGCUGCACCCAGGCAGUGACCACCCCUCUCCUGCUGUCACCUCUUGGGGUGCAGCUGGCCUCAGGCCUUACUGGACGCCAGGACCCAGAGGGGAGCCCCUCCUUAGACCCAGGUGGCUGUCCAAGUGGGGGCUGCGGGAGCCCCGUCCUGCCUCCCACCCUACCCCAUGGGCUGUCUCCUGGCCUGCUCUCAUCCACUUUAAAGGCUGACUGGCUUCUCUGUAUCAUACGUCAGCGAUUCACACCAGAGGGGCCUGAACCCAGAGCCUUGGGCCUGCAGGUCCUGUGCUCUGCCUGCUGAGCUGUCUCCCCAGCUGCUUGUAGCAGGAGGGAGCUGAGCCAGGAGCAGGAAGUGGGCCAGGGGUGUCCCCUCAGCAGAGGCUGUUCUGCCAUUUCCUGCUGAAACGGAGCCGGAGCCAGUGGAACUGAAGCCUGGGGGCCAGGAUUAUCGCUGGGGCUUGGUGCUGGCACCACAAAUCCACUGCUCCUGUGGCCAUGUUUUCAUUUUUAUUGGAUAAGACAGAAACUGAGAGGGGAAGAUAGGGAGAAAGACAGACACCUGCAGACCUGCUUCACCGCUUGUGAGGUGAGCCCCCUGCAGGUGCACCAUGGGGACGUCGCGGAUGACGUCGGUCAGGCCCUCGUGCAGCAGCGGGAAGAUGACCACAUUCAGUGCUGGCCGCUCCUCCUGGAAGCUGAGACACAAGAGGCCUGAGCAGGCAGGGCCAUGCUGCUGG